GUUUGGCAUUUUUACUUAAAUGGCUGAAUUAAACGAUUAACUGAGUACUUCAUUAACUGAGCGUCUGUCUUAUGAGGUGUUGUUACCUGAGCACAUGACGCCGGCGAACACCCAGCACUGGCCGUACUUGACCGGGUAGCAGCCGCGUCUGAGCCACUGCGUGAGGAUGGCGUGACUUCCGUUCCAGUGAGUGGGCGCCACGCCGCCCGUGUACGGAGUGCUCCAGCGGCCCUGCACGACGCCGCGGUCAUCGUUACUGUUGAUCUGGAACAAAACAAACCGAACGAAGCCGGAGAAGAAAUAAAGAGACGAAACAAGUGGUCAGCUCACGUACCGUAAUCUGCACCUGUGGGUGGAGGGAUAACGCUAAGCCCCGCCCACGGCGGAGAGGAGAGCAAUACAGCAUAAAAUGUGGGUGGACUGAGAAGACUUGCUCUUCACCGACAACACUCCCUUCACACAAGAGAAGACGGCCAGGAGGAAAGAGAAGAAGAGGGAGUUCAUCUGAGGUCAAUACCUGUAGCUCCAUGUGCUGAAUGUGAAUUGUGAAACGACAUUUUGGAUUCCCAAACGCAAAAUUCACUCCGCAUGGACACAUUUUACACAGACUACGUACACUUAACUUUAUUAGGUCCACUUGUACAGUCAAAUGCAAUCCGAACUGCUCUGUACAGUUCAGUGUUUGUUGACACUAGAGGUGUUUAUCAAUUAGACAUGUUAGCACUGAGGUCAUAGUUUGGGUUGUUUUGGACAGGAUAUCACAUUAAGAGGCGUUUCUGCUACACUAUAUAGACAAAUGUAUUGGGACACCUGACCAUCAC